AUACGUAGGUGACAAGCGUUAUCCGGAUUUACUGGGCGUAAAGGGCGUGUAGGCGGUCUUGCAAGUCAGAAGUGAAAUUCCUGAGCUCAACUCGGGCGCUGCUUCUGAAACUGCAGGACUUGAGUGCUGGAGGGGAUAGCGGAAUUCCUAGUGGAGCGGUAAAAUGCGCAGAUAUUAGGAAGAACACCGGUGGCGAAGGCGGCUAUCUGGACAGUAACUGACGCUGAGGCGCGAAAGCGUGGGGAGCAAACAGGAUUAGAUCCCCUGGUAGUCCACGCCGUAAACGAUGAAUACUAGGUGUAGGGGGUAUCGACUCCCUCUGUGCCGCAGUUAACACAAUAAGUAUUCCGCCUGGGGAGUGCGGCCGCAAGGCUAAAACUCAAAUGAAUUGACGGGG
rnacentral:rRNA from 1 species